rnacentral:misc_RNA from 1 species
UUAUGAUUAGCCUCAAUUCAAAGCCUCAACUGACCACGCCACAAAGUUCACUAAUCAAUCCCUUUUGGAGUGCCUGUUAUCCCUGCCAAUUGUUUUUCGAAAUCUGAAAUUUUGUUCUCAUUUGUGUAGUGAAAGCUAGUGGGGAAACCAUUUGUCUGAGUCUUAUUAUGUUUUACUUGCAGACAGUCGGUGACAAACAGCUAAAGUUCCCCACAGGAACCGGGCAGGUUAAAGAUGGAUUAUAGGCCCAUUAUAGUGAACUUUACAACUACUCUUAUUUUCCAAAGUAAAGAAGCGUUUAUGUCAUAUGACAAAUCCCUGCAAUCAUUGAUCCAAAAAUAUUUUCUAGCUGCAAUAGUCUUCACUUUAUGCAAGAGCUGAGGGUUGAGAGGCAGUUUAGCCUACUCCCAGGCAACAGCUAACUGCCAAGAAUGCUAAAUAUG